rnacentral:rRNA from 1 species
UACGGAGGGUGCAAGCGUUGUCCGGAUUUAUUGGGUUUAAAGGGUGCGUAGGCGGCUUUUUUAAGUCAGCGGUGAAAGACCAGGGCUCAACCCCUGGAACUGCCAUUGAUACUGAAAAAGCUUGAGUAAAGUUGAGGUAGGCGGAAUUGACGGUGUAGCGGUGAAAAUGCUUAGAUAUCGUCAAGAACACCGAUUGCGUAGGCAGCUUACUAAGCUUUAACUUGACGCUUGAGGCACGAAAAGUGUGGGGGAUCAAAACAGG